AGUGAACGCUGGCGGCGUGCCUAAUACCUGCAAGUCGAAGGAAGUGGCGCACGGGUGAGUAAUAUAUCGCUAAUAUGCCCCUUGCUGGAGGACAACAGUUAGAAAUGACUGCUAAAACCCCAUAGCAAGUGAUGAGUCUAUAUCGGAUCAGCUAGUCGGUGGGGUAACGGCCUACCGAGGCUAUGACGCGUAACUGGUCUGAGAGGAUGAUCAGUCACAUUGGAACUGAGACACGGUCCAAGCUCCUACGGGAGGCAGCAGUAGGGAAUAUUGCGCAAUGGGGGAAACCCUGACGGAGCAACGGCGCGUGGAGGAUGACACUUUUCGGAGCGUAAACUCCUUUUGUUAGGGAAGCGUUACCUAACGAAUAAGAACCGGCUAACUCCGUGCCAGCAGCCGCGGUAAUUC
rnacentral:rRNA from 1 species